rnacentral:rRNA from 1 species
UACGAAGGGUGCUAGCGUUGCUCGGAAUCACUGGGCGUAAAGGGCUCGUAGGCGGCCAUUCAAGUCAGAGGUGAAAGCCCACGGCUCAACCUUGGAACUGCCUUUGAUACUGUUUGGCUUGAGACCGGUAGAGGUAAGUGGAACUGCGAGUGUAGAGGUGAAAUUCGUAGAUAUUCGCAAGAACACCAGUGGCGAAGGCGGCUUACUGGAACGGUUCUGACGCUGAGGCGCGAAAGCGUGGGGAGCAAACAGG